rnacentral:misc_RNA from 1 species
GUGAAGAACGCAGCGAAAUGCGAUAAGUAAUGCGAAUUGCAGAAUUCAGUGAAUCAUCGAAUCUUUGAACGCACAUUGCGCCCGCUAGUAUUCCGGGGGGCAUGCCUGUCCGAGCGUCAUUGCUGCCCUCAAGCACGGCUUGUGUGUUGGGCCCCGUCCUCCGAUCCCGGGGGACGGGCCCGAAAGGCAGCGGCGGCACCGCGUCCGGUCCUCGAGCGUAUGGGGCUUUGUCACCCGCUCUGUAGGCCCGGCCGGCGCUUGCCGAUCAACCCAAAUUUUUAUCCAGGUUGACCUCGGAUCAGGUAGGGAUACCCGCUGAACUUAAGCAUAUCAAUAAGCGGAGGA